AUUGAACGCUGGCGGCAGGCCUAACACAUGCAAGUCGAGCGGUAGCACAGAGAGCUUGCUCUCGGGUGACGAGCGGCGGACGGGUGAGUAAUGUCUGGGAAACUGCCUGAUGGAGGGGGAUAACUACUGGAAACGGUAGCUAAUACCGCAUAACGUCGCAAGACCAAAGUGGGGGACCUUCGGGCCUCAUGCCAUCAGAUGUGCCCAGAUGGGAUUAGCUAGUAGGUGGGGUAAUGGCUCACCUAGGCGACGAUCCCUAGCUGGUCUGAGAGGAUGACCAGCCACACUGGAACUGAGACACGGUCCAGACUCCUACGGGAGGCAGCAGUGGGGAAUAUUGCACAAUGGGCGCAAGCCUGAUGCAGCCAUGCCGCGUGUGUGAAGAAGGCCUUCGGGUUGUAAAGCACUUUCAGCGGGGAGGAAGGCGAUAAGGUUAAUAACCUCAUCGAUUGACGUUACCCGCAGAAGAAGCACCGGCUAACUCCGUGCCAGCAGCCGCGGUAAUACGGAGGGUGCAAGCGUUAAUCGGAAUUACUGGGCGUAAAGCGCACGCAGGCGGUCUGUCAAGUCGGAUGUGAAAUCCCCGGGCUCAACCUGGGAACUGCAUUCGAAACUGGCAGGCUAGAGUCUUGUAGAGGGGGGUAGAAUUCCAGGUGUAGCGGUGAAAUGCGUAGAGAUCUGGAGGAAUACCGGUGGCGAAGGCGGCCCCCUGGACAAAGACUGACGCUCAGGUGCGAAAGCGUGGGGAGCAAACAGGAUUAGAUACCCUGGUAGUCCACGCCGUAAACGAUGUCGAUUUGGAGGUUGUGCCCUUGAGGCGUGGCUUCCGGAGCUAACGCGUUAAAUCGACCGCCUGGGGAGUACGGCCGCAAGGUUAAAACUCAAAUGAAUUGACGGGAGCCCGCACAAGCGGUGGAGCAUGUGGUUUAAUUCGAUGCAACGCGAAGAACCUUACCUGGUCUUGACAUCCACAGAACUUUCCAGAGAUGGAUUGGUGCCUUCGGGAACUGUGAGACAGGUGCUGCAUGGCUGUCGUCAGCUCGUGUUGUGAAAUGUUGGGUUAAGUCCCGCAACGAGCGCAACCCUUAUCCUUUGUUGCCAGCGGUCCGGCCGGGAACUCAAAGGAGACUGCCAGUGAUAAACUGGAGGAAGGUGGGGAUGACGUCAAGUCAUCAUGGCCCUUACGACCAGGGCUACACACGUGCUACAAUGGCAUAUACAAAGAGAAGCGACCUCGCGAGAGCAAGCGGACCUCAUAAAGUAUGUCGUAGUCCGGAUUGGAGUCUGCAACUCGACUCCAUGAAGUCGGAAUCGCUAGUAAUCGUAGAUCAGAAUGCUACGGUGAAUACGUUCCCGGGCCU
rnacentral:rRNA from 1 species